AACCCUAUAAGAACCCUAAACGAAGGGUAGAAUAUCCUCGCCAUUGUUCUCUCGAGGGAAUGAGAUAAAUGGCAAUGGCGACGGCGGCUUCUUUCGCUCUCUCCGCGGCUCCCAGGUCUGGAAACCUCGACGAUUUUGGCAGCGCGAUUCCUUUCCACGCCAAUGCGCCGCCGCGGAGGAGGACGACGGCGAUUCGAGCGACUGGAGCAGCAACCAAGCGCGCCAAGACUCCAGCCGAGGAGGAUUGGAGAAUCAAGCGCGAGGCUUUGAAGAAAAACCAGGUGCGCUCUAUCACUGCCAAGGACGCUAAAAGGCUCCAGGACGAACAAGGCUACGUUCUUCUAGAUGUUCGUCCUCAGAACGAGUUCCAAAAGAUGCAUCCUAUAGGAGCUGUGAAUGUAGAGAUUUACAGGCUUAUCAAGGAAUGGACUGCCUGGGAUAUCGCUCGAAGGCUGGGAUUCGCGUUCUUUGGCAUUUUCGACGGUACCGAAGAGAAUCCAAACUUCCUUGCAGAUGUGAGGGCUAAGGUCGAAAGCAAGUCCAAAGUUAUUGUUGCCUGCGCAUCUGGAGGUACAAUGAAGCCUACUCCGACUUUGGCCGAUGGACAGCAAUCAAGAUCGUUGAUUGCGGCAUACGUGCUUCUCAUGGACAGCUAUACGAAUGUUUUGCACCUGGAAGGUGGGCUUCGGAGCUGGUACCAGGAUCGACUUCCGACGGAAGAAGCCUCGGAAUAGAUCAAGAGGUUCGCUGUAAACUCUGGUUGUGUGUGUGUGUAUAUUUAUGUAUAACAUUCGUGCUGCUCCUCAAUAAGCUGGUUUGUGGGAGAGUACUAGCAGCGUUUUGUGAAGCAUUGAUAAAAAAACUUAAGAUUUUUCCUUUCCUACGCGGCUAUCAUUCUCGUCACCGGGCAGUUAAUUAUCCGUUAGAUUGGAGGUAAAGUCGUCGACUUUUUUAACCGAAACAUCAAAGUUGUUCUUCCUGACACCCAGGGUCUUAUACGGACGAUCACAGAGCAAAAGGCACGACUGGGGAGCUUAGUACAUUACACUAUCAGGUACGCAAGAAAAAGGUGUUGCAGGACUUGCCGCUGCAAGAGACCAAACGGGGAGAUGUUUGGGGGCAACACGGGGUACUUGGUUCCUGAAACCUUUUGUACUGCUCAGCGAGCCAUCGACAAUGUUGAGUUUCUCGGGAAGAACAUUUCGAGAAAGUAAAAGAAAUCUCUUCCCCAAGUUCUUCGUCCUCAUGCGCUGCUUACUUAGCGCAUCAUUCUAAGAAACAGCAAGCAGACAAAAGCCUUUGCCGUAA